AAGAAUUCUAGUUGGAAAGGGUGGUUGUAUACUAGGAAGAAAUUUGUGUUGAUGGUUUAUCCCUUGGCCAUGAUGGUCUAGAUCGGAAUAGGAAGAGGGAUUGGUCAGUUCUUCCUGCUUCGAUCCUGAACACUUCCCAGCUUUCAAGUGCUUGUUUUGUAACACUUGCUGUACAUGUGUGCCAUACAAGACGAAUCUGGGUUUUUCAGUAUACAUUUUCACUAGCUUCAACUGCUUUCUGACAUGGAACAAGCUUUAAUUGCCUUAAGAUGGUAUUGAGGAUACGGGAUUCAUAAGGUUUAUAUGCAAGAUCGCUCCAAGGUGUAUAAAAUACUAAAAAAGAACUGUGGUUGAAGAAAUUAUUGUGUAAAGAUAGAGAUGGAAAUUGUAGACUGAGGUGGAUUCGUAGAA